rnacentral:rRNA from 1 species
AGGGCCUAAGGGUCUUGUAAUUGGAAUGAGUGAAGUAUAAACCCCUUUACAAGUAUCAAUUGGAGGGCAAGUCUGGUGCCAGCAGCCGCGGUAAUUCCAGCUCCAAUAGCGUAUAUUAAAGUUGUUGCAGUUAAAAAGCUCGUAGUUGGAUUUCUGUUGUAUAAUCUAUAAAAUUACUAAGGUAUAUAUUAUAUUAUCAACAUCCUUCCUAUUAUAUUUAAAUAUAUAUAGGAAACUUUACUUUGAGAAAAUUAGAGUGCUUAAAGCAGGCAACUGCCUUGAAUACUCCAGCAUGGAAUAAUAAGUAAGGACUUUUGUCUUUCUUAUUGGUUCUAGGACAAAAGUAAUGGUUAAUAGGGACAGUUGGGGGCAUUCGUAUUUAACAGCCAGAGGUGAAAUUCUUAGAUUUGUUAAAGACGAACUACUGCGAAAGCAUUUGCCAAGGAUGUUUUCAUUAAUCAAGAACGAAAGUUAGGGGAUCGAAGACGAUCAGAUACCGUCGUAGUCUUAACCAUAAACUAUG